CAGAACUGGAUUCACCAAAGGUCGGCCGAGCCUCGCCGAUGCACGGUCGAGCUUUGACACAGCCAGCCGACCUUCGACAGCGAGGUAGGGGCAGAUCGGUAAAAUCGACACCCGUGGCUGUUUAAACACGACCCAACCCUCAUUUCCUCACACUUCCCCAUCCAAAAACACCUCAUCAUCUCUCUCUAACCUUCAUUUCUCUCUAUAUUUCCAUUCCUCUUGAGUUACCCAACAACUUUUGCAAAAUUUUCUCUUGAAACCCCCUUGAUCCUCCACUUUUUGAACCGAUUGGAUUUUGGUUUGGUGAAGUUUUGAACUUUCUCUUGUUUUCUCUCACAUUUGCCCACACUUGUCUUGUUCCCUCCGUGAUUUUCCAUCCCCUCUUUACUUUCUCUCUCUUAGGGUUUUGGUUUUGUGAUUUUCACUCCAAAACACCCAACCACUCACUUUUUCUUCACUUCUUAACUCCUCUCUAUGGCUAGUGACGAAGUACCUAUUCCCAACCCUAUCGCAGGUAUUGGUGUCGGCCUUGGUACAGACAUUGAGGUGGAGGAGGGCGCCGCAUUGCUUCCCCUUGCCGAGAAGUCCUUUGAUGUGGCUACAUACCAACCGCAUACACAUGUGCCACCCCCAGGCGGCAUCUUGAGAUUUGAGGGCUUCAUCCCAGGGUUAGAUGAGCAUAUAUCUACCAACGCCUCCACGAUACACAACUUUUCUACUUAUUUUACUUUGCACACAUGUUGAAAUAUUGAAACUGAUGAACAAACCACUCGUCUCUACUAUACAUAUACUGAUAAAACUUCCAAUUGAUAGGUAAUAGGCAGAAGGAUAGGCGACGAUGGCUCCAUAUCUAGCCCCCAGCAUUAGUACGAGCGGCUUUCCAUAGAGAUCCGCACUUUAGUUGAUGUUGCUCGGUUUGGGCCCUUCUGCUCCGGGCUUUUAUAGAUGAGAGCCGAGUCAUGGCUCUAUGGGGCCCUGGUAGAGAGAUAGUGGGAUACCACUGACUCAUUCCACUUAUCCUCGACUGGGGAGAUGACACUGACCCCAUACAACUUCUUAAUGCUGAUCGGUUUGCAGGUCGAGGUUGGCGGCCCAGUUUCCUUUGAUCUGGAUAUGACCCAGUGGAGAGCCGCACAACUCCAGCUUCUCGGGGUGAUCCCAGACACCACCAGCCACGGGAUGUGCGCUACAACUGGUUCUUGGAGUAUUUUUUCGUCACUCAGCCAGCUACUACAAAUGAGGUUGCCCAGUACACCCGCGGCUUCCUUAUAUAUUUUCUCGGUAUUACCUUGUUUGCGAACAGGGAAAAUACCGUGGGAUUAUACAUUCUAGGGGCACUGGUACACCUUCCUCGGGUGGUGGAGUAUGAUUGGAGUGGUGCCGGUUUGGCCACCUUAUACUGCUACACGAGUUCCGUUUCCCGCCGCAAGGCCGAUUCACUUGGCGGCUACUGGAGGGUUUGAGAGCUUUGGGUCUAGACAUAUUUCACCUCCCUGGCUCCAGUCUCAGUAAAGCCGAUUGAGUUGUCAGUACCUCGCUCCCGGUACUACAACUUACGGUUCGAGUGAUGCCACCUUGUAGACCAAACCUUGUUGUACUUUUGCCGCUUCUUUGACACGAUCACGACGGAUCAGGUUGGCUGGCACCCUUGGGCGGGCAUUUCCCAGGUGUCGAGGACGACCUACGCCGCUACCUGGCAUGCCUCCACGAUGAGGAUCCUGUUCGAGGGCCUCUUUGGUAGAGCUUACUACCUGGAAGAAAUGUUCAUCUGCCAGACGUGGGGCGUUAUUGACCCCGACAUUCCACAUCCUUCUCCUUCCAACAUGAGGGUAGUAGAUGAUCUACAGGACGGUCUUGAGGUCGACCUAUUGAUGAUAGAUGAGAACAACGAUCAUCAUCAUGAGCCUGGCGACUUCACUACCUUCUUGCACACCCGGGUGAUAGCACCUCUUACCUCAAGUAUGGCCCAAGCUGUACUGGAGGUUGCUGCUACUGCUGCUGGGGCUGGUGAUGCGCCUACUAGAGGUGCCCCUGCUGUUGCUCUCAUUCCUGGAUUUCCUGUGAUCCCCACUGAGAUCGUAUACACGCGUCCGGAUGAAGUGAUCGAGCAGAUCCCACUUGAGCACAUCGAGGAGAGGGACCGCAUGCUAGUGUUUGCCCCUAGCGUCGAGCAGAUACCCUAGGCAUUUGGUGACGAGCUCUUUCGAACAAUCGAUCAACUGCUCGUGAUGGUACAGAGGAGGCAGACUGCCUUAGUCACCCAAGGGAUUGAGCUUGAGUCUGUACCAGUUGCACAAGUAGGACCUCUUCCAACUUGAGGGAGAAGGAGACAGGGCUUAGUGAGAGGCUGCGGAGGAGCUGACCAGGAGAAGGGCCAAGCGAGGUAGCGCUCGCCUUUCGAGGAGUCUUUUGACUAGUCCACGACCUUCGAGGACAAGGGGGAGGAGAUUGACUUGCAGUCGAGCAGCCCUAGUGAUGACAGCGAUGCACCUCCUCCACAGUCGAGAAAGAAGAGAGCUAGGAUGGGCUAUUGAUGAUGAUGAUGAUUUUGCUUUUGUUUUGCUUUCGCUUUCAUUUUGUUAUGUAGUUAAAAAAAACUAGCUUCGGAUAGACCUUUGUUUUUGAAGACUUUUCUUUUCUUUUGUUUUGUAAAAUAAUGAUCGGGGUUGGUACCACCAAUUAUAAAAGACAAGUUUUGUUGAAUGAUCUCUUUGCACAAUAUAAUGAACAACAUUUGCAUGUGAUGAA